UGGGGAAUAUUGCACAAUGGGCGAAAGCCUGAUGCAGCGACGCCGCGUGAGGGACGAAGGUCUUCGGAUUGUAAACCUCUUUCAGCAGGGACGAAGCGAAAGUGACUGUACCUGCAGAAGAAGCUGCGGCUAACUACGUGCCAGCAGCCGCGGUAAUACGUAGGCAGCAAGCGUUGUUCGGAGUUACUGGGCGUAAAGAGUGCGUAGGCGGUUUUCUAAGUUCGGUGUGAAAUCUCCCGGCUUAACUGGGAGGGUGCGCCGAAGACUGGGAAGCUGGAGUGUGGGAAAGGCAGGCGGAAUUCCUGGUGUAGCGGUGAAAUGCGUAGAUAUCAGGAGGAACACCGGCGGUGUAGACGGCUUGCUAGACCAUAACUGACGCUGAGGCACGAAAGCGUGGGUAGCAAACA
rnacentral:rRNA from 1 species